rnacentral:tRNA from 1 species
CGCGGAGUAGAGCAGAGGUAGCUCGUCAGCCUCAUAAGCUGAAAGUCGCAGGUUCGAAUCCUGCCUCCGCAA